CCUACGGGUGGCAGCAGUAGGGAAUCUUCCACAAUGGGCGAAAGCCUGAUGGAGCAACGCCGCGUGGGUGAAGAAGGUCUUCGGAUCGUAAAACCCUGUUGUUAGAGAAGAAAGUGCGUGAGAGUAACUGUUCACGUUUCGACGGUAUCGAACCAGAAAGCCACGGCUAACUACGUGCCAGCGGCCGCGGUAAUACGUAGGUGGCAAGCGUUAUCCGGAUUGAUUGGGCGUAAGGGGAACGCAGAAGGUCUUUUAAGUCUGGUGUGAAAGCCUGCGGCUUAACCGGAGUAGUGCAUUGGAAACUGGGAGACUUGAGUACAGAAGAGGAGGGUGGAACUCGAGGUGUAGCGGUGAAAUGCGUAGAUAUAAGGAAGAACACUGGUGGCGAAAGCAGCUCUCUGGUCUGUAACUGACGCUGAGGUUCGAAAGCGUGGGUAGCAAACAGGAUUAGAUACCCCAGUAGUC
rnacentral:rRNA from 1 species